UGGAUGUAGUAGCCAUCGCGCAGG
rnacentral:piRNA from 1 species